CUCACGACCCUGAGAUCAAAAGUCAUGUGCUCUACUGACCAAGCUGGCCAGGUACCCCUUAAAAUUUUUUAAUUAAAAAUAAAUAAAUAAAUAAAAUAAAAAUUUUAAAUUUUAUUUUACUCUUUUUCAAGUAAGUUUCAUGUCCAUGUGUGGCUUUUUAAAUUUUUUAUUUUUAUUUUCCUUUUUUUUUUUUUGAAAAGUAAACUUUGUGUUUACUUUGUUUUGGUGAUGAUGGCUUCUAGAGCAUCAUUUACCUUCAGAACUGGGAAAAACCCCAACUCAGUGAUCAUUUUGAGUCCACACAGGUAGCCUAAUUCUGUGUCCUGCUGGAAGUACCCAAGGUGGGGAGACAGUGUCAGCCACUUCACCAGCCUACGAGAAGAAUUUAAUGCUCACUUGGAAACAAAUCUAGUAUCGUCUGGUCCUGAUCAAAGAAAAUGUGGUAUUUGUGAGAGCUAUCUUGCUUUCCUCGUGGGGCUUAAAGGCAUGGAUGUCAGAGUGCCCCUCUUCCCUCUCUUCCCUUGGAGCCGGUUGGCUGGCUGCAAUCGCAGUCAAAACUGCUGUGACCAAAUUUGUGAUCAGUGCUGUGAGAACUGUAUUGUCUUAAUUUCAGUUGAGGCUGAAAGCAUAAACUCUAGAAGUGACUUAGUCUAAUGAAGCCUGAGAGUAAUAUGACAGUGGCCUUCAUUUCCAAUCCAGGAGUGCCUCCUACAGCCAUCUUACUACGGAGCCAUUAGCAUAGAAGGACACACAUACCCUGUAGACCAUGUGAGAGGCAUGCUUCCCAUCAAGUGCCUCAUUCAUAGAAGUGCCCUAAAGCCCUUCAGACCUCUGGCACCACCGUCCUGAUUUACUGUGUGACCCACCCUGGUCGAAAACAGAAAGCUGUUCACUGCUCUCCAGCUGCAGUAGAUGACAGUGUCUGGGGACAGGGAGCCUGAUGGGGCGACUGGAUCUAAUCCUGCUUCCUCCUGCUCUGUCUGGCUCUGAGACACCUAUACCCCAGCUUCAUGUACUCUCUGCUUGAGUAUACAGGUGAUUGGUUUUAUAUAAAUCAUAUUUAUACCUUUUGUAUGCUACAUAAAUAAAAGAUAAUUUAUAUAAAAA